UACUACACCCAUGUUACCCGGAACAAGCCUGAUCCCAUCUGAUCUCAGAAGCUAAGCAGGGUCGAGCCUGGUUAGUACUUGGAUGGGAGACUACCCUAGGAAGACCAGGUGCUAUAGGCG
rnacentral:rRNA from 1 species